rnacentral:rRNA from 1 species
UACGUAGGGAGCAAGCGUUGUCCGGAAUCAUGGGGCGUAAAGCGCGCGUAGGUGGCCUCGUAAGGCCGCUGUGAAAGUCCAAGGCUCAACCUUGGAAAGCCGGUGGAUACUGUGAGGCUAGAGUACGGAAGAGGCGAGUGGAAUUCCUGGUGUAGCGGUGGAAUGCGCAGAUAUCAGGAGGAACACCAAUAGCGAAGGCAGCUCGCUGGGACGUUACUGACACUGAGGCGCGAAAGCGUGGGGAGCGAACAGG